AAGUCGUAACAAGGUUUCCGUAGGUGAACCUGCGGAAGGAUCAUUAACACGUAUCCAACGUUAAUCCCCCCUUCAUUUCUUGACUAAGAGACAACCUUCUUACCAAGAGCAGGCAUUACAGGGCAUCGGGAUUGGGUUAACAAUGGAUAUCUUGGCUCUC
rnacentral:misc_RNA from 1 species